GACGAACGCUGGCGGCGUGCUUAACACAUGCAAGUCGAACGGAAAGGCCCUGCUUUUGUGGGGUGCUCGAGUGGCGAACGGGUGAGUAACACGUGAGUAACCUGCCCUUGACUUUGGGAUAACUUCAGGAAACUGGGGCUAAUACCGGAUAGGAGCUCCUGCUGCAUGGUGGGGGUUGGAACGUUUCGGCGGGUGGGGAUGGAAUCGCGGCUUAUCAGCUUGUUGGUGGGGUAGUGGCUUACCAAGGCUUUGACGGGUAGCCGGCCUGAGAGGGUGACCGGCCACAUUGGGACUGAGGUGCGGCGCAGAAUCCUACGGGAGGCAGCAGUGGGGAAGAUUGCACAAUGGGCGGAAGCCUGAUGCAGCAACGCCGCGUGCGGGAUGACGGCCUUCGGGUUGUAAACCGCUUUCGCCUGUGACGAAGCGUGAGUGACGGUAAUGGGUAAAGAAGCACCGGCUAACUACGUG
rnacentral:rRNA from 1 species